GAGUUUGAUCCUGGCUCAGGACGAACGCUGGCGGCGUGCCUAAUGCAUGCAAGUCGAACGCAGCAGGCGUGCCUGGCUGCGUGGCGAACGGCUGAGGAACACGUGGGUAACCUGCCCCGGAGUGGGGGAUACCCCGUCGAAAGACGGGACAAUCCCGCAUACGCUCUUUGGAGGAAAGCCAUACGGCGCUCUGGGAGGGGCCUGCGGCCCAUCAGGUAGUUGGUGUGGUAACGGCGCACCAAGCCAAUGACGGGUACCCGGUCUGAGAGGACGACCGGGCAGACUGGGACUGCGACACGGCCCAGACUCCUACGGGAGGCAGCAGCAAGGAAUUUUCCCCAAUGGGCGCAAGCCUGAGGGAGCAACGCCGCGUGGAGGACGACGGCCUUCGGGUUGUAAACUCCUUUCGGGUGGGACGAGCCUGACGGUACCACCAGAAGCAGCCCCGGCUAACUCUGUGCCAGCAGCCGCGGUAAGACAGAGGGGGCAAGUGUUGUCCGGAGUUACUGGGCGUAAAGGGCGCGCAGGCGGUGGGCUGCGUCGGCGCUGAAAGCGCCCCGCUUAACGGGGCGAGGUGCGCCGAUACGAGUCCACUCGAGGCAAGCAGAGGGUGGCGGAAUUCCGGGUGGAGCGGUGAAAUGCGUAGAGAUCCGGAGGAACGCCGGUGGGGAAGCCGGCCACCUGGGCUUGACCUGACGCUGCGGCGCGACAGCGUGGGGAGCAAACCGGAUUAGAUACCCGGGUAGUCCACGCCGUAAACGAUGCCGGCUCGGCGUCUGGCGCACGUUAGUUGUGCUGGGUGCCUUUAG
rnacentral:rRNA from 1 species